GGUUAAGCGACUAAGCGUACACGGUGGAUGCCCUGGCAGUCAGAGGCGAUGAAGGACGUGCUAAUCUGCGAAAAGCGCCGGCGAGGUGAUAUGAACCUUUGACCCGGCGAUGUCCGAAUGGGGAAACCCAGUGUGUUUCGACACACUAUCGUUAACUGAAUACAUAGGUUAACGAGGCGAACCGGGGGAACUGAAACAUCUAAGUACCCCGAGGAAAAGAAAUCAACCGAGAUUCCCCCAGUAGCGGCGAGCGAACGGGGAGCAGCCCAGAGUCUGAAUCAGCUUGUGUGUUAGUGGAAGCGUCUGGAAAGUCGCACGGUACAGGGUGACAGUCCCGUACACGAAAAUGCACAGGCUGUGAACUCGAAGAGUAGGGCGGGACACGUGGUAUCCUGUCUGAAUAUGGGGGGACCAUCCUCCAAGGCUAAAUACUCCUGACUGACCGAUAGUG
rnacentral:rRNA from 1 species